CCUACGGGAGGCAGCAGUGGGGAAUAUUGGUCAAUGGGCGCAAGCCUGACCCAGCAACGCCGCGUGAAGGAAGAAGGCUCUCGGGUUGUAAACUUCUUUUAUCAGGGACGAAGCAAGUGACGGUACCUGAUGAAUAAGCCACGGCUAACUACGUGCCAGCAGCCGCGGUAAUACGUAGGUGGCAAGCGUUAUCCGGAUUUACUGGGUGUAAAGGGCGUGUAGGCGGGAAAGCAAGUGAGAUGUGAAAACCAUGGGCUCAACCUGUGGCCUGCAUUUGAAACUGUUUUUCUUGAGUACUGGAGAGGCAGACGGAAUUCGUGGUGUAGCGGUGAAAUGCGUAGAUAUUAGGAGGAACACCAGUGGCGAAGGCGGUCUGCUGGACAGCAACUGACGCUGAGGCGCGAAAGCGUGGGGAGCAAACAGGAUUAGAUACCCUGGUAGUC
rnacentral:rRNA from 1 species